rnacentral:rRNA from 1 species
GCGACCCCAGGAUGGGCGAGGCCACCCGCCGAGUUUAAGCAUAUCAAUAAGCGGAGGAGAAGAAACUUACAAGGAUUCCCAUAGUAACGGCGAGCGAACUGGGAUAGGCCCAGCAUUGGAAUCGGGCCGCCAUGCAGCGGCUCGAAUUGUAGUCUGGAGAAGCGUCCUCAGCGACGGACCGGGCCCAAGUCCCUUGGAAAGGGGCGCCGGGGAGGGUGAGAGCCCCGUUCGGCCUGAACCCUGUCGCAACACGAGGCGUUGUCGGCGA